UUGGAGAAAUGCAUGCUUCCCAUUCUAAGGUAUUCCUUGCACAUUUAUUUUUGAUUGGAUCCUCUGGGGGAAGGGGCAUGGCCCCGUGUGACAGGUGGCUCUGGGGCCCAGGCAGGGAGAGUCACAUGUCAGAAUGACUCCCAGGAGAGCCCUGUUCCCCUGUCAUCAGCACACAGACCCAGAAGACCCCUCCAUCUGCCCUGUUCCUGCCAUGAGCGGUGGCCUCCUGUGCUGGGUGGUCUUUUGUCUCCUGCAGGCAGCUCCAGUGAAUGCUGGUGUCACCCAGACCCCAAGAUUCCAGGUCCUGAGGAGAGGAGAGAACACGACACUGAGAUGUACCCAGGAUAUGAACCACAACUCUAUGUACUGGUAUCGACAAGACCUGGGACAUGGGCUGAGGCUGAUCCACUUCUCAGUUGGUGCUGAUGCCACUGCAAACCGAGAUGUUCCCGAUGGUUACAGAGUCUCUAGAUCAGAUACAAAGAACUUCGCCCUCAUGCUGGAGUCCGCUACCCCCUCCCAGACAUCUGUGUACUUCUGUGCCAGCAGUUAG